UGUCAGGUCAGCAGUCUUCCCCAUGAUUGUGAUUCCUACUGAACCAGACUGAGAGACCAUUUAAAGGCUCAGAAACUGUUUGCAGGUGUUAUGGCUUACUUAGCUGAUUAGAGUGGGACACUGUGAGCCUAGAAUAUUGCACCUUUUUCACAAUAUUCUAAUUUGCUGAGAUUGUGGAUUUGGGGUUUUCAUGAGCUGUAAGCCAUAAUCAUCGCAUUUAUGACAA